rnacentral:rRNA from 1 species
UACGUAGGGUGCAAGCGUUGUCCGGAAUUAUUGGGCGUAAAGAGCUUGUAGGCGGUUUGUCGCGUCUGCUGUGAAAUUUCGGGGCUCAACCCCGAACUUGCAGUGGGUACGGGCAGACUAGAGUGUGGUAGGGGAGACUGGAAGUUCCUGGUGUAGCGGUGAAAUGCGCAGAUAUCUGGAGGAAUACCGGUGGCGAAGGCGGCAUCCUGGACCGGCAUUGACGCUGAGGAGCGAAAGCUAGGGGAGCAAACGGGGAU